rnacentral:lncRNA from 1 species
ACUUGUGCUGGUUAUUCAAUUUUUGAGUAGUUCUUGCUAUGGACAAGGGGCCAGUUACAAAGACAAACCACUUCCAAGAGUUUAUGACUAGGCAAGAUACUCACUGACAACAACGAAUCGUCAAACUGAAUCAGACCAAAAAAUGACAGGCAAAACAAGUAUGAUUCUCCUAGCACACCAAUAUAGGCAUGGCAAAUCAGUGACACAUUCUUAACUGCAAUGUUGCAGAUGUAGAGCAGGGAAAACAAAAAUCUGGAUCGGGAAUCGGCAAAAUCAACAUUGAAGAUCUAGAGCAGGGGACAGUCUCAAUCUGAAUUGUUUUCCUUCUCGAGAAUAAGCAGAAUCAAUCUACCUAAUUUAGUUCCAUAUCGAGGUAUGGUUAAUCUCACAGAUGAACGGAGAAGGG